rnacentral:lncRNA from 1 species
ACCAAAUACGUGGAGGAAUUCACCGGGUGUGAAGUAUGGAUCUAGAGAAACUGAUUUCGAAGAAGCAACAUGAAUCGUUUGGUUUUAUCGAGGAUCUACGAUGUUAAUGAUCGUUUCGAUUGUAUCAAUGUUUUGUGUUUUUAGUUCUUAAAUCAAUAAAGUUAGAUCGUUAUUCUUGAAAAAAAAAGUAACAAUGAAACAUGGUGUCAAAAAAAAGUAGCAGCACAUGGUCCCGUAACAUAUCAAGCAAAGCCAAGAAAAUUAGUGCACGUAAAUUGCUUAACGCCAAUUACAUUCACAAUACCCUCACCGCCGACUAAGCCCACCUUAAAGUUGCUUGUACGAUGAU